UACGUAGGCAGCAAGCGUUGUUCGGAGUUACUGGGCGUAAAGCGCGUGUAGGCUGCUUGGAAAGUCGGAUGUGAAAGCCCUGGGCUUAACCCAGGAAGUGCAUUCGAAACUUCCAAGCUCGAGUCCUGGAGAGGGUGGCGGAAUUCUCGGCGUAGAGGUGAAAUUCGUAGAUAUCGAGAGGAACACCGGUGGCGAAGGCGGCUACCUGGACAGUGACUGACGCUGAGACGCGAAAGCGUGGGGAGCAAACAGG
rnacentral:rRNA from 1 species